AUCCUGGCUUAGGAUGAACGCUAGCGAUAGGCUUAACACAUGCAAGUCGAGGGGCAGCACGGUGUACGCAAUACACUGGUGGCGACCGGCGUACGGGUGCGUAACACGUAUGCAACCUACCCGCUAGUGGGGGAUAACCCGGCGAAAGUCGGACUAAUAUCCCAUAUUAUCUUACCGGGCAUCCGGUGAGUCUGAAAGAUUUAUCGAUUGCGGAUGGGCAUGCGGAUGAUUAGCUAGUAGGUGGGGUAACGGCUCACCUAGGCGACGAUCAUUAGGGGUUCUGAGAGGAAGGUCCCCCACACUGGAACUGAGACACGGUCCAGACUCCUACGGGAGGCAGCAGUGAGGAAUAUUGGUCAAUGGGCGCUAGCCUGAACCAGCCAAGUCGCGUGAAGGAUGACAGAAUCUAUGGUUUGUAAACUUCUUUUGCAGGGGAGUAAAGUGCGACACGUGUGUUGUAUUGCAAGUACCCUGCGAAUAAGCAUCGGCUAACUCCGUGCCAGCAGCUGC
rnacentral:rRNA from 1 species